GUCAUGCCACCGGAUCCGCGCACCAUCAGACAGCGUUGUAACUGCGGUGGAUGCUCCAAAUUGUUGCCCUUCGACUUUUCAAACUGGUAUUUUCAAAACUGCAGCUCUUUGCGCCAGAAGUACGAGUUAGUUGGUGAUGGUGUAUAAGCUGAUGUUGCUACUGCACGUGUCCCCUCUGCCAGGGCUGGUCCAGCUAACUACCAGGUGUGGUUCUCAUGGAGCUAUCUUCUGCAGCUAGCGCUGAAUUGUCAGUGGUUAGGUUACUUAAGCUCCAACCCAAGGGUGCGCGAUGGAAGCUGAGCGAGCUAACCGCUAGCCCGCGAGCUAAUAACGAGCGCUAGCUCGCGAGCUAAUAGCGAGCGCCAGCACAGACCUGUUUUAAUUUAAUUCUGCAUGUAUUGAGUUCUCAACACGUAACUUAGAAUUUGCAAUGUCAUCCUCACAGUUGUACAGAAGUGACAACACUGUUGAUCGCCAUCUCUACAAUUCAGGUAA